GUGUCAGCAGCCGCGGUAAUACAGAGGGUGCAAGCGUUAAUCGGAAUUACUGGGCGUAAAGCGCGCGUAGGUGGUUUGUUAAGUUGGAUGUGAAAUCCCCGGGCUCAACCUGGGAACUGCAUUCAAAACUGACUGACUAGAGUGUGGUAGAGGGUGGUGGAAUUUCCUGUGUAGCGGUGAAAUGCGUAGAUAUAGGAAGGAACACCAGUGGCGAAGGCGACCACCUGGACCAACACUGACACUGAGGUGCGAAAGCGUGGGGAGCAAACAGGAUUAGAAACCCCCGUAGUCC
rnacentral:rRNA from 1 species